CUUCUUGAAAGCCAUCCUAUGUGACUCUUGCAUUUUAGGUAGAAGUUAUGUAAGAACACCUUCCAUUCCUUUCUAGAAUUACAGUGUUCUUCACUUAUUCUGACAAAUGUAGGAGCAGAGAUCCUGAGCAUCUGUGCUGCCUGCCUCAUGAACAAGGUGCCGUGAGAAUGUAAUGAACCCCCAACUGGACCUUCGUCUUUACUGGGAUAGGUACCUCUAAGAAUGGUGCGAUUCAGAAGAAGGAGUCAUUGGGAGCAAAAACACAUUUACGCUUGGUGGUCCAAACUGAUGAAAUGCCAAACCUUCCACAGGUUUAAUCACUUGUGGAAUGAAAUUGUCUUGACCCAGUGUAACACAGGAAAAGAAGGAUGAAGUUUCUCACUGGGAGGGUGCCUGGCACUCUCCAACAAAGCUGAAGAAUCCAUACAAGAUUCACCUCUUUUUAUUACCUAGGAAACUAAUCAUUUAUUUAUUUAUUUGAGACAGGGUCUCGCUAUGAGUUCAGGGUGGCCUUGAACUCAUUAUGUAGUCUAGGCUGGCCUCAAACUUGUGGCUAUUCUCCUUCAUCAGACUCCUAAGUGCUGGGAUU
rnacentral:lncRNA from 1 species